ACCAGAUGAAGGCAGACUGGACUACGAUGAUUCUCAUUUGUUUUAUUACCAUGUCCGGGUUUUGGAUGCUGUUUGUUCCAGCUGCUGAGGUCCAGCAGGUCCACUUUGGAUCAAACGUCACACUGGGGUGCAACAUCUCCUACCUGUACGACACGACAACGUGGCUUAAACAAAACCCAGGCUUCAUUCCGACCAUUGUCCUCCACGCCAGCCUCAGGGAGGGACGGCCGGUUGAGUUGUUUCAGCUCAGUCUUCGUCAUUCAGCGAGUCUCUUGAAUCGGUCUCUAGCUCUGAAGAUCGCUGGUGUCGAAGUGGGGGAUCUGGGCCUGUAUUACUGUAUUGCCAGCAUGAAUGGACGCGUGAUAAUUGGAAAAGGAACACGGAUUCAUAGGAUGACAAAUGCAAAAAGUUAG